CUGAGGGGGAUACCAGUUGGAAACGACUGUUAAUACCGCAUAGUAUCUGUGGAUUAAAGGUGGCUUUUGGGCUGUCGCAGAUGGAUGAGCCUGCGUUGGAUUAGCUAGUUGGUGGGGUAAGGGCCUACCAAGGCUACGAUCCAUAGCUGAUUUGAGAGGAUGAUCAGCCACAUUGGGACUGAGACACGGCCCAAACUCCUACGGGAGGCAGCAGUGAGGAAUAUUGGACAAUGGGGGCAACCCUGAUCCAGCAAUGCCAUGUGUGUGAAGAAGGCCUUAGGGUUGUAAAGCACUUUAGUUGGGGAAGAAAGCUUUGAGGUUAAUAGCCUUGAGGAAAAGGACGUUACCCAAAGAAUAAGCACCGGCUAACUCCGUG
rnacentral:rRNA from 1 species